rnacentral:rRNA from 1 species
GACGAACGCUGGCGGCGUGCUUAACACAUGCAAGUCGAACGGAAAGGCCCUGCUUUUGUGGGGUGCUCGAGUGGCGAACGGGUGAGUAACACGUGAGUAACCUGCCCUUGACUUUGGGAUAACUUCAGGAAACUGGGGCUCAUACCGGAUAGGAGCUCCUGCUGCACGGUGGGGGUUGGAAAGUUUCGGCGGUUGGGGAUGGACUCGCGGCUUAUCAGCUUGUUGGUGGGGUAGUGGCUUACCAAGGCUUUGACGGGUAGCCGGCCUGAGAGGGUGACCGGCCACAUUGGUACUGAGAUACGGCCCAGACUCCUACGGUAGGCAGCAGUGGGGAAUAUUGCACAAUGGGCGGAAGCCUGAUGCAGCAACGCCGCGUGCGGGAUGACGGCCUUCGGGUUAUAAACCACUUUCGCCUGUGACGAAGCGUGAGUGACGGUAAUGGGUAAAGAAGCACCGGCUAACUACGUG